rnacentral:pre_miRNA from 1 species
CAGCCAAGAAUGACUUGCCGACUCUUCUAUUGUCCUUGCUAUUCUCUGGCGAUGACUCACAGAGUUUUACCAAAUUGGCAAGUCGUCCUUGGCUACA